UACGAAGGGGGCUAGCGUUGCUCGGAAUUACUGGGCGUAAAGGGAGCGUAGGCGGAUAGUUUAGUCAGAGGUGAAAGCCCCGGGCUCAACCUGGGACGGCGCGCGAGACGGGGGGGCUGGAGUUCGGGAGAGGAGCGUGGAAUUCCCAGUGUAGAGGUGAAAUUCGUAGAUAUUGGGAAGAACACCGGUGGCGAAGGCGGCGCUCUGGACCGAGACUGACGCGAGGCGCGAA
rnacentral:rRNA from 1 species